GCGGUGUUAGUCCAGCAUGGUUAAGAUACUGCCCUGCCACGGCAGAGACCCGGGUUCAAUUCCCGGACGCCGCA
rnacentral:tRNA from 1 species